rnacentral:rRNA from 1 species
AACGCUGGCGGCAUGCUUCAUACAUGCAAGUCGAACGAUAAGGUCUCUUCGGAGAUACAUAAGUGGCGGACGGGUGAGUAAUAUGUAGGAAAUCUGCCCUAGAGAGGGGGACAACAGAGGGAAACUUCUGCUAAUACCCCAUAUGAGCGUAGUUGAAAUACUAUUCUUGAAAACUCCGGUGCUCUAGGAUGAGCCUGCAUCUGAUUAGCUUGUUGGCGGUGUAAUGGACCACCAAGGCGACGAUCAGUAGCUGGUUUGAGAGGAUGAUCAGCCACAAUGGGACUGAGACACGGCCCAUACUCCUACGGGAGGCAGCAGUAGGGAAUUUUGCGCAAUGGGCGAAAGCCUGACGCAGCAAUGCCGCGUGAACGUAGAAGCCCUUCGGGGUGUAAAGUUCUGUCAGUGGGGACGAAUUUUGACGGUACCCACAGAGGAAGCACCGGCUAACUCCGUGCCAGCAGCGGC